rnacentral:misc_RNA from 1 species
UCACCCCUCAAGCCUCGUGCUUGGUUUUGGACGGGUUGGUCGGGGCUUGCCUCGACCCCUCCUAAAGACAACGACGGCGGCCUGUGGUUCCCCCGGUACACUGAGCUUCUUAACCGAGCACGUACCGGACGAGGGCGCCCGGGCCACGGUCCCCCCUCCUUUCACUAGGAAUCCUUUUUUCAA